GUUACCUUCCCCAAGGGCGCUCUCAUGAAGGUGCCACAAGAUUCUAGUCUCACAUCUUUCCUUUUUAGCAUGUAUAUGAACCCAAAUGUGGAAGACAAUAAAACAGUGUUGUUGUAGUCGUGCUGGUUCCAGCAUACGACACAGACAAGGGAGCUGGUAGCAGCCAAUGGGAAGAAAGGAAGGGCGCUGGCUGCCGGUCGGUGCUAAGCACCCACAGAAAAGUGACGCAAAAAAUGAAGUGACGGAUAUAUGGAUAGGGACCAACAUGAACCGGAACACAUUCACCUAUUGAUGGAUAAGGGGGAGACGUAUACCAGGGACCCCAUGUAAUGCGAAUGCAAAGGUUAAACUACCAAGAUGCGCUACCUUCCUGCUUUGGAGCACAGAUUUAAUUUGGCAGCAGCGUCAAACCUAGGGACACAGAAAUGCAAUUUACUGGCCAUGUGAAAAUCCACUCAAAUUCAAUAGUUAUAGGCCUUUGAAAUUUGUCAUUUGCACAUGCUAAGUAAGGGAUGACUGGUAAAUUCUCCUAAAAUUCAUCUGCUGUGACCAUGCUCCAGCCCAUACCUGCAGAGACUGAGCAGGGCUUUUCUCUCAAUUGAUCCUCCCAGCUUUUGGCAACCACUGUCACUAGGCACUCCUAAAACCCAGACAACAAGGAGGAGGAAGCAGCUUGACUUGAAUGCAGAAGUAUGAGGGGAAGAAGAGAGCAAGUUUCCUCGAACCUGCUAGGGAAUAGGGGCAGAAGGAUCUGUAACCAAUAUAGCA